rnacentral:lncRNA from 1 species
GACGGCAGAGCCGAUACGACUCGCCGGAUUCGUGAUCGACAUGUUCUGCACUUCCAUGAUGGAUGUCGCAGACGAGUUCGGCCUCCCCACCUACGUCUUCUUCACCUCCAGCGCCGCCUUUCUCGGCCUUGUGCUUCAUCACCACCGCCUCGACGUCUCCGACAUAAAAAACAACCACCUGGACGCCGAGCUGUCCGUUGCAGCUUUCGCCAACCCCUUCCCCGUGAAACUCUUGCCUACCGUGUUUCUCGAC